AAGUCGUAACAAGGUUUCCGUAGGUGAACCUGCGGAAGGAUCAUUAAUGAAAACUUCAGGAGUUGCUGCUGGCCUCUCGAGGCACUUUGUGCACGCUCCGUUUUUCAUCCACCCACACCUGUGCACAAUCCUUUUGAGAGGAAGAAAGGGAUUUCUUCGGAGAGUCCUCUUUUCCUCCAAAAUUUAUCACACACUCUACGCAAUCGUCAGAACGAACUUGUUUUUUGUAAACAAACUUAACAACUUUCAACAACGGAUCUCUUGGCUCUCGCAUCGAUGAAGAACGCAGCGAAAUGCGAUAAGUAAUGUGAAUUGCAGAAUUCAGUGAAUCAUCGAAUCUUUGAACGCACCUUGCGCUCCUUGGUAUUCCGAGGAGCAUGCCUGUUCGAGUGUCGUGAAGCUCUCAACUCACUUCUUUUUGUUAAAAAGGAAGUGCAGCUUGGACUUGGAGUCUGUCGGCGUGAGUCGACUUCUCUNNNNGCAUUAGCCCUACUGCAGAUAAACGAUGGGUAACAGUGUAGUAAUCUUUUGAUCGUCGCUGUGUCCGUUCCCCUUCCGCGGNUGGCUCACAAAGUAAAAGCAGAAGUCAAUCUUCUCUUUUUUUCAAUCUUUUGACCUCGAAUCAGGUAGGACUACCCGCUGAACUUAAGCAUAUCAAUAAGCGGAGGAAAAGAAACUAACAAGGAUUCCCCUAGUANCGGCGAGUGAAGCGGGNAGAGCUCAAAUUUAAANUCUGGCGGUUUCACCGUNCGAGUUGUAAUCNGGAGAAGUGUUUUCCGUGUCGGACCGUGUACAAGUCUCUUGGAACAGAGCGUCAUAGAGGGUGAGAAUCCCGUCUUUGACACGGACUACCGAUGCUAUGUGAUGCACUCUCGAAGAGUCGAGUUGUUUGGGAAUGCAGCUCAAAAUGGGUGGUAAAUUCCAUCUAAAGCUAAAUAUUGGCGAGAGACCGAUAGCGAACAAGUACCGUGAGGGAAAGAUGAAAAGCACUUUGGAAAGAGAGUUAAACAGUACGUGAAAUUGUUGAAAGGGAAACGAUUGAAGUCAGUCGCGUCUUCGGAGAUUCAGCCUAGCUUCUGCUUGGUGUACUUCUCCGUCGACGGGUCAACAUCAGUUUUGCUCGGUGGAUAAAGGCGGGAGAAAUGUGGCAUCGUUCGCGAUGUGUUAUAGUCUCUCCGUUGCAUACACCGGGUGGGACUGAGGAACUCAGCACGCCUUUUGGCCGGGGUUCGCCCACGUACGUGCUUAGGAUGUUGGCAUAAUGGCUUUAAACGACC
rnacentral:rRNA from 1 species